UGCUGGACGUAUCAGAAGUGCGAAUGCUGACAUAAGUAACGAUAAAACGGGUGAAAAACCCGUUCGCCGGAAGACCAAGGGUUCCUGUCCAACGUUAAUCGGGGCAGGGUGAGUCGGCCCCUAAGGCGAGGCUGAAAAGCGUAGUCGAUGGGAAACGGGUUAAUAUUCCCGUACUUGGAUAAACUGCGAUGUGGGGACGGAGCAGGUUAGGUUAGCGCACUGUUGGAUAUGUGCGUUUAAGUUGGUAGGUGAGAAGUUUAGGCAAAUCCGGACUUCUUUAACACUGAGAGAUGAUGACGAGGCUCUACGGAGCUGAAGUAACCGAUACCACACUUCCAGGAAAAGCCACUAAGCUUCAGGUUUAUCUAAACCGUACUGAAAACCGACACAGGUGGUCAGGUAGAGAAUACUCAGGCGCUUGAGAGAACUCGGGUGAAGGAACUAGGCAAAAUAGCACCGUAACUUCGGGAGAAGGUGCGCCGGCGUAGAUUGUAGUCCCUUGCGGAUGAAGGUUGAACCGGUCGAAGAUACCAGCUGGCUGCAACUGUUUAUUAAAAACACAGCACUCUGCAAACACGAAAGUGGACGUAUAGGGUGUGAUGCCUGCCCGGUGCUGGAAGGUUAAUUGAUGGUGUAAUCGAAAGAGAAGCUCCUGAUCGAAGCCCCAGUAAACGGCGGCCGUAACUAUAACGGUCCUAAGGUAGCGAAAUUCCUUGUCGGGUAAGUUCCGACCUGCACGAAUGGCAUAAUGAUGGCCAGGCUGUCUCCACCCGAGACUCAGUGAAAUUGAAAUCGCCGUGAAGAUGCGGUGUACCCGCGGCUAGACGGAAAGACCCCGUGAACCUUUACUAUAGCUUGACACUGAACAUUGAAUUUUGAUGUGUAGGAUAGGUGGGAGACUAUGAAGAUGAUACGCCAGUAUUGUUGGAGUCGUCCUUGAAAUACCACCCUUUAACGUUUGAUGUUCUAACGAAGAUUACGAAACGUGGUCUCGGACAGUGUCUGGUGGGUAGUUUGACUGGGGCGGUCUCCUCCCAAAGAGUAACGGAGGAGCACGAAGGUUUGCUAAUGACGGUCGGACAUCGUCAGGUUAGUGCAAUGGUAUAAGCAAGCUUAACUGCGAGACAGACAAGUCGAGCAGGUACGAAAGUAGGUCAUAGUGAUCCGGUGGUUCUG
rnacentral:rRNA from 1 species